ensembl:lncRNA
GGGAGAGGAGGAGGGAGCCCACAGAUGAGGAGCUGGAAGGGCCAGGGCCGGGAGCGGCCUGGUGUCACCCUGUUACAUGCUCGCACCACGCCCUUGCGGCAGCGGGAUAGCCUCCAUGCUGUAAAUGAGGAAACUGAGGCCCAGAGAAGCGGUCACUGUCCAGACGGGAUUUGAACCCAGAUCGGCCUUCAUCUAAAGCUCUUUUCCUCACCCUCAGUGUCUGCAGGGUCAACAGGAAUCACAACACAGAGCGCUAGCUCCCCGACUCCACAGGGUUCAAGUGUGAGCGAGAGGCACUGAAAGCGUGGAGGGUACAGGAAGAGUGAGACGGGGACGCUGUUGCUAGGGACCCAGCUCCCCGCUCCUGGAGGGACGACACUUUUCAGGUGGCAAAGUUCCUUUCACUACACACUAUAAAAGACUUUCCAGGCAGAGCUCCGACGUGCUGUAUGACUUUGGACAAGACACAUACCCUCUCUGGGCCUCAGAGAUGCAUGAGAGACCAAAGCAGGCACAGGGAGAGGACCAGAGAUGCUCAGAGCGAGGCUCCUGCUCUGCUUCCUCUGCCCAGCUCAGGGAGGGCCUUGGGAAUGAAGCCCCCGCCCCCACCCCGCCCCAUGUUCCAGAUGAGGACAUCGAGGGUGCGGACUUGCUCCUCCAAGCCCAGCACUGGACGGCCGGACAGUCCUCCCAGGAGGCACAGCUCUGAAGCCCAGGGCGCUGGUUCAGAUCGUCGUGCGGCCACUUCCUGAUCCUGUGACUCAGGGAAGUCACGUGACUCUCCAGGACUCAGUUUCCCUGUCUGUAUAAUAGGGAUCCUGUACCCGGCUCUCCCUGGCUGGCCAGCUGGGUCAGGGGUGAUGUGUUAGUUCGAGACGUAUGAAUCCUGGUGUUUGGCCAUCUCUGACCCAUCCUUCGGAUCAGCGCUUCUAAAACCACUGUGCACAUGCGUAACGGGGGUCUUCUUAAAUGGCACAGCCAGGUGUCAAAGCCAGGCCUGUGAGGCGUCCCCACCAGGGUCCUCGUCCAUCCAUCCAAACCUUUGCAGAGGCUCACGAUCCUUGCCGCCAAGAAGCUCACAGCCCUGGCGGGGACCUAAGAUACACCCAGGACACGGAGACAUCCUUAGGUGGCCUCCAGGCAGCGGUGGGAAAGGACACCUUGCUACUUUUGGGAACUCACCCGUGAGCAAAGCUCCCCAGAGGGCACAUUGGACAACGGAGGAAGUGGGUGGGAGCUGGGUUGGCAACCUGGGACCAUGCUGGGAGAGGACAGCAUGAGGGGGGGUCCACUACUCCUUGUGAACCCCAAACUUGCCCAACUCCCUUCUCUCCUACCCACCUGCUUCCCUCCCUCUCCUACUGAACACACUUCAGAGUCCCCGCCUGGGCUACUUGCCCCCAGCAGAGGACGGCCAGGGGUCCCUGGAGGUGGCAGAACUGAAUGUCACCCCAUUUCUGUCCCUGACUCGCUGUGUGACAUUGGGUAAGUCACAUGAUGUCUCUGAACCUCAGAUGUUCCCUCUGAACACCAUGCUUGUACUGUGGGGACAGGUCUUGAAGAUAAAGGCCGUGUCAGACCUUCUACCAAAGGGGAGCUUCCCAAUGGCGGUGGGACAAGAUGGGGACUCGGGGUGGUAGGACGAGGCAAGGGAGAGGAGAGGACAAGGCCGCUCACCUUCCAUCUCGAGGGUCCCUGUCCAGUGUCAGCUCAGCCCGGUGGGCAGUGAGAGGAAGCUCCUUUAGCCAGCGGUCGGGCCUAAUGCCCACCAGAGGGCCCUCCCCAGACAGGGGCGGAGCUUGGUGAAAAUCUGUGGGUGAACUGGGCAGUGGUGUGUUUUCAUCUCUGCUGGGUCUGGGAGACGGGUGUCGAGGUCCAAAGAGGGAUGCUGGCACCAGGCUGCCCAGGUCCAAACGCCAGCUCUGCCCUGACUGACCCUUGACCUUGCAAAGCUGCUUCAGACGUUGGUUUGCCCCAUCUGUAAAACUGGGCUGGUGGGGGGCGGUCACACUCCUCUCUCACGGGCACGUUGUGAGGCUUAACUGAGUUAUCAGACCCGAAGGGCUUGGAGCAAGCUGCCGACACAGUGCGGGCCACGUGAACAUUCGCUCUUCAGAACAUUGACCAAACAUUGGUGACUUUGACACUGUGGCUGGCUUCUCAUUCUUCUGAGGCCCUCAGGUUCCUUGCAGUCACACACAGCUUCCUCUGGAAAGCCGGUGAGGGUCCGUGUGCGGUACCCCCACCGAGAGGGGCUGCCUGCCACCUGCCUGCCCCCUGUCCCCCUGCCCCCCUCCCCGCCAGAAUCCCCAAAUCCUCAGAACACAGCAGCAAGGACACCUGACUUGAAAAGGGCUGGCAACCCAGAUCCAGUCCUCAGCUUCCAGCCCCGGGGCGGGCGGGUCCUGGGGGCCACCCUCCUCCAGCCCUUCACAGCCGCCUCCACCUAGCUUGUGUAAUUUUUUGUGUGCAAAGUGACAGGAAAAGUUAGGCAAUCCAGGCCACACAGGGAGGUGUCGCAUAACAGGGAGAUGGCAUCACAGCCCUGGAUUCAAAUCCUGGCGCUGCCACUUCCUUGCUGGGUGAUGCUGGGCAAGCUGGUAUCCCUCUCUGAGCCUCUGUGCCUCCUCCCCCAAGGAUGAACAUGGUAAGACCAUAGGCCCUCUAGGAAGGGGGCAAGGACUCAGCCAGCCUCCUUCCUUUGCUGGUAAACUGGUAGUAAUUGCUGUCCAUCCCUCGUUGGGCGACAGUUCAGGGAAGGCGUUGGGCCCAGCGCGAAGGCCCUGUAAGGGAGCCUGUCAGUCCUGGAGGCCUUGCACAUGAGCAGCGAAGGCUGCGGAGAGGACGACCCUGCUCUGGGGAGAUCGGACCAGCAC